AGGCUCAUUUUUGCAGCACGUAGACUGAAAUUAAAUCAACCCACAGAAGACUGACAUGAUUCCUGGGCAAGAAUGCCAGGCACUUUUAUGGAACAUUCCAUAUUUUU
rnacentral:snRNA from 1 species